AAUAGAUACCCAGGUAGUCCACGCCCUAAACGAUGUCUACUAGUUGUCGGGGGGUAACUCCUUCGGUAACGCAGCUAACGCGUGAAGUAGACCGCCUGGGGAGUACGGUCGCAAGAUUAAAACUCAAAGGAAUUGACGGGGCCCGCACAAGCGGUGGAUGAUGUGGAUUAAUUCGAUGCAACGCGAAAAACCUUACUUACCCUUGACAUGCCACUAACGAAGCAGAGAUGCAUUAGGUGCCCGAAAGGGAAAGUGGACACAGGUGCUGCAUGGCUGUCGUCAGCUCGUGUCGUGAGAUGUUGGGUUAAGUCCCGCAACGAGCGCAACCCUUGCCAAUAGUUGCUACGAAAGGGCACUCUAUUGGGACUGCCGGUGACAAACCGGAGGAAGGUGGGGAUGACGUCAAGUCCUCAUGGCCCUUAUGGGUAGGGCUUCACACGUCAUACAAUGGCUGGUACAGAGGGUUGCCAACCCGCGAGGGGGAGCCAAUCCCACAAAACCAGUCGUAGUCCGGAUUGCAGUCUGCAACUCGA
rnacentral:rRNA from 1 species